GACAGUGUGGUGUAGUGGUUUGAGCGCUGGACUACAACUCUGUAGAUCAGGGAUUGAUUCCCUGCUCAGCCA